rnacentral:rRNA from 1 species
GACGAACGCUGGCGGCGUGCCUAAUACAUGCCAGUCGUGCGGACCUUGUUGAAAGCUUGCUUUUAAACGGUUCGCGGCGGCCGGGUGAGUAACACGUGGGCAACCUGCCUGUAAGACUGGGAUAACGCCGGGAAACCGGGGCUAAUACCAGAUCGUUUUUUCCUCCGCAUGGAGGAAAAAGGAAAGGCGGCUUCGGCUGCCACUUACAGAUGGGCCCGCGGCGCAUUAGCUAGUUGGCGGGGUAAUGGCCCACCAAGGCAACGAUGCGUAGCCGACCUGAGAGGGUGAUCGGCCACAUUGGGACUGAGACACGGCCCAAACUCCUACGGGAGGCAGCAGUAGGGAAUCUUCCGCAAUGGACGAAAGUCUGACGGAGCAACGCCGCGUGAGUGAAGAAGGCCUUCGGGUCGUAAAACUCUGUUGCCGGGGAAGAACAAGUGCCGUUCGAACAGGGCGGCGCCUUGACGGUACCCGGCCAGAAAGCCACGGCUAACUACGU